rnacentral:lncRNA from 1 species
UUUUGACACCCACAAAAAUUUGGCACACUCCCUCCACACAAAAACCCAACUUCACAAACCGACGUGGCGGCGCAACCUAUGAUCGGCGUCGGGUCUUCCAUACAAACCACCGCAUCGCCACGCGCAGCCACCCCUUAAAUAUGGGGCAUGUCUCUCCUCACUUCAAAACACAUUUAACAACACCACUCUCUCUCUUCAUCUCCUCCAAAUGUCUCAUUAUAUAUAAUUUCCAACUCGAAAUUCCAACAAUGACCCUCAUCCCAGCGUGGUGCAAGAAUUUUCCGACGGCGAUCGCCGUUGUGACUACGUGCCGGUUGUGCCGCAUAGAAGGCGGUGGUGGUGGCGACGACGAUGAUGCGGAUUACGAUUAUGCUCCGGCUGCAUAAAUUUUUGAUAAAUUUAACCAGCAGAUCAACAACUUUCGCGCUGUAGCGUUGUACCUUCAGUUUAGAGAAUGCAUGCAGCCAUUUUGAUAUUUCAUUUGCAAAAAUAAGUUAUUUAUUCUAAUUAAAUCGUGUCAUUUUUAAUUUUAUUUUUGCAUUUCUAUUUGCUAACUCGUCAGAUACAUUGGUAUCGUAUUUUACUCAAUCUUACAAAUG